GUACUAACACAGCAACAGCUUCAGAACAGGGUGUUAAAACUUGGAGGUGAAGAAAGAUGAAUCAACAUUAAUGGUCCCUUUUGCCAAAGAACUGCUGUGGGCACAAGAAUGCAAACAGCCAACAAUUAGUCAUAGUGUAGCCAGGCAAGAACCUGACAGCUGAGGACAAGUCAGAUGGGUGUGUAUGUGCAGGGUGUGGAGAUCUGAGGGUGAGGAAGGACAGCUGAUGAUGUCUCACAGAUAUAAUAGCCUUGGAAGGAAAGCUACUGAAGUGGUUCAGUGGGAUGUCUUAGUUGUAGACAUACACCCACAUUCACAGUCAAGAAAAGGCUGUGGAGGAAGUUAGCAAAUGCACAGGCAAAGCAUUCUUUGGCUGUCAUUUGGUAGCCAGCACUGCAUCUAAAAAGGAGCAUGCUACCUUCCUCCCAGCGGAGGAGUGUUAGGGACAUGUAACCGUCUCCUAAUGAUGGAGUGUGUCACCCUUCUCCCAACCCUGACUGGUGCAUGGGACAUGUAGCUGUCAAUAAUGGUAUCUCAGAAAGAAGUGAGGCAGCUGGAUCCUGACUUGGUCCAGUGCUCAGCACACAGGUCCUCUCACCUAAAAGGGGGUGGCACUUUUUUGAUGCUCUUUUCACUUCACUUUGUGAAUUUUGCACAAACUGCCUCCUUCAGAGUCUGGAAAACAAAAGACAGCUUUCUGAGAACCCGGAGAAGCACUGAUGUUGCCGGCAGCUCUGAACCAUGCUCAUGAGUGCUGUGAAACCCCAAUCCAUUCUUCAUUUCCAGCCUACAGCCUCCACUCCAGUGUCUGUUCAGGAACGAUUUAUUCCUAGACAUCUCUAUUAAGAUCUUACGAAGAGUCAUCUGAUGAACUGAUUCUAUUCCAAAUAAGGUUCUACCUCCUCAUUACUGACAGAUGGGCAUCACACUUCCAGCCCUAGACCUCCAAGGCACAGCUGAACCCCAGGAGCCUGAGCAGCUAUCAGGAGGUUGGAUAUCUAAAUUCUGAGUAUGUGGCUGGCAUGCAAGGGGCAAGGUGAGCUAGAAAAUGCCCCAUUGUCUGUGUAAG